CAGUGCUAUGCAGAGGGGGCUUCUCCUGAGGAUGGCCAAGGAGGGGGUCCUCUGUGGGACUGAUGGGACCAGGCCCUCCCUCUGCAGAUAGGUCCUGAGUCAGCCACAGGUGCUGCCCUUGUCUCCCAGGGGCCUCGCCGACCUGCAGGCAGACACGGCCAAGACAGCCCGCCGCCUGCACACCGCCUGCCUGAACCUCGACUCCAACCUGCGACUGUCGGCCAGCAGCACGGCCAGCACCCUGGGGCAGCAGCUUCGGGACAAGGUUGGGGAGAUGCUGCAGCUGCAGGUCCGCUGGGACGCAGAGAAGGUGGCGCUCCAGGCCAGACUCUCGGAGCAAACGCUGCUGGUGGAGAAGCUCACAGAGCAGAAUGAGCAGAAGGCGAGGACCAUCGCCGCCCUCAGAACCGACCUGCAGAACCUGGUGGCCCAGGAGGACGCCCAGUGCCUGGAGCUGUCACGGAGCAGCAGCAUUGAACUGGGGGAGCCACGGCGCCCACUGAGGAGCCCCCAACGGCGCCCACUGAGGAGCCCCCAACGUGCCACAUCCCCCCAUCAAGGGGCGUCCCCACCACAUACCCGCUCCCCGACCACCCUGGACCCUGUACUGCAGGCCGUGCGGGCAGCCAUUGAGAGGCGGCGGCGGCGGGAACAGGUGGGCAGCCACAGCCCGCAGGAUCCCCUGUCUCCCUGAGGGCAGAAACAUGAGCCCCUCAGGCUGAAGGGUAGUUAUGGGGCCUGCCCCUGAGCCCCAUGGACCCAGGGAGGGGCUCCAGUGUGUGUGUGGGGGGUCCUUUUGGGGAGUCUCAAGCCCUGGUGUGCCUCAGUGGGCAAAGCUUGCCUAGGUCAGAGGGACCCACACCGCACCCCACCCGAGCAGGAGCUGUGCCUGCAGCUGGAGUCCUCCCAGGCACUGGCAGCCGGGCUCCGGGAACAGCUGUCCGAGUGCCGGCAGGAGCUGUGGGCUGCACAGAAGCUCCAGCAGGAGCGGGCUCGGGAACAGGCACGGGAACGAGAGGCCCUUCGGGGCCAGCUGGAGGCCCAGAGGCUCGAGGUGCAGCAGUGCCGGGCGUCCUGCAAGCUCCUGGGGAGGGAGAAGGCUGCUCUGCAGAUGGCGGUGGAGGAGCUGAGAGGAAAGGCAGACGCUGCAGAUGUGGAGAAGCAGGGGCUGGAGGCAGAGGCCACGGAGCUACAGAGAAGCCUCCUGCUGCAGGCAGAGCGGAGGGAGAAGCUGGCUCUGCAGAGGGAGCGGAGCUGCAGGGCACUGGAGACCAGGUGCACAGCGGUGGCUGGGUAGACAGGGCCCCUCCUACAGGAGAGACCCCACUCUGCCACCAUCAGCCACUUGGCCCUGGGCCACGGGUCUGCUUCUUUACCUGUCUCAUCUCAGGGUGUGGUGGCGGCCCUAACAGGGCAGGGGCGGGGACUCUCCAGGCUCCUCCCCAGGCUGCACCAUCCUCCAGACCAAUCCUCACUCCCUCUGGCCCAGUGCCCCACUUGGGUGCACAUCUACCACCCUGUGGGCCCAGCAGAUGUGGAGCCCCAUCCGUCCUGUCCCCCUGGAGGCACCUGUGCCUCCCCUGA
rnacentral:lncRNA from 1 species